rnacentral:misc_RNA from 1 species
GGGAGUAUUGCCAAUGCAUGACCCUGACCCUGACAAAGAUUUUUUUAUCGGACGUCCCCGAGGGGAAGACCUUGAGAGAGAUUGAUAUGAUAAUAAUCACUGUAACUUUUCACGACACAUGAAGCCUUGCUACAUUGCAUGGUUAAGCAUAAAAAAGUAUUCCUGUACCAAGUGUUGGCAUCUGCUAGUGAACUGGCAACGCGUGUGAAAAGGUUCCCAUGUAACGAGCAAAUCCUGCCAAUUGAAUUCUUUCCUAUAGAAGAUGGAGAAUGCGUGCCAUGUAUUUAAGAUUGUAGGAACCCUAACGGCAACGAGAAUGGCAUCUUACCAAGGUUGGCGGGAUCAUGACUUGAUGCAAAUAUCGAGCAACCAUCGAUCGACCUUUAAUGUCAUUAAACAGUUGGGUCUCACUCUGAUAUUCCCUUAAAGAUCGGUUUCCAUUUUCCAACCAAUAUUCUGUUUUUCUGUUCUCACUUAGUUAUCCCUUAACUCCAUGUGAUAUGGGUGUAGGUUGAAGCUCGUUUUGAUGUUUGAGCACGAAGUCAAUACAGGGAAUGCUCUCACCAUGUCAUCAUAUUUGAAAUCAUCAUUUCUAUCUCUAGAAAUUGCAUUGAUAAUUGCUCUCGGAACCAUCAUGAUCAUGAACAACAUUUUGGAAAUUUGGCUUGCAUGUAAAUGAGGGUGGCUAAGAUUCAAAUUUUGAUAAACCACUAAAAAGCUUAAACUUGUAAGUGAGUAUUACAAAAAUAAUUUUACAUCUCUAACAGGAUCUAAU